rnacentral:rRNA from 1 species
CCGCAAGGAAGUAAGAUCCCUGAAAGAUGAUCAGGUUGAUAGGUCUGAGGUGGAAGUGUGGCGACACAUGGAGCUGACAGAUACUAAUCGAUCGAGGACUUAACCAUAUUU